GUUCCGGUGGUCUAGUGGUUAGAGCGUCUGCCUCGAAUGCGGGAGGUAACGGGUUCGAACCCCGGCUAAGUCA